AUUGAACGCUGGCGGCAGGCCUAACACAUGCAAGUCGAGCGAGCGGCGGACGGGUGAGUAAUGCCUAGGAAUCUGCCUGGUCGUGGGGGAUAACGUCCGGAAACGGUAGCUAAUACCGCAUACCAUCGGAUGUGCCCAGAUCGGAUUAGCUGGUAGGGUGGGUAACGGGCCACCUAGGCGACGAUCCCUAGCUGGUCUUAGAGGAUGACCAGCCACACUGGAACUGAGACACGGUCCAGACUCCUACGGGAGGCAGCAGUGGGGAAUAGUGCACAAUGGGCGAAAGCCUGAUGCAGCCAUGCCGCGUGUAUGAAGAAGGCCUUCGGGUUGUAAAGUACUUUCAGCGGGGAGGCGUUACCCGCAGAAGAAGCACCGGCUAACUCCGUGCCAGCAGCCGCGGUAAUUC
rnacentral:rRNA from 1 species